rnacentral:rRNA from 1 species
UACGUAGGGUGCAAGCGUUAAUCGGAAUUACUGGGCGUAAAGCGUGCGCAGGCGGUUUUGUAAGUUUGUCGUGAAAUCCCCGGGCUCAACCUGGGAAUGGCGAUUGGAGACUGCAAGCUGACGAAUUACGUAGGGUCGUGAGAUCGGGGGGAUGAAGGGGGGGUAAAGUUAACCUUACCCGUGACUGAUGGUACAGGCUAGGUAAAGUGAAACUGGUCGAUGAAGUAAG